GACAGAGGUCCCGAGCGUUAGGCGGAAUCACUGGGCUUAAAGCGUGUGUAGGCGGACUUCUAAGUACCCUGUGAAAUCCCACGGCUUAACCGUGGAACUGCUUGGUAUACUGGUUGUCUUGGGCCAUCUAGGGGCUACUGGAACAAACGGUGGAGCGGUGAAAUGCGUAGAUAUCGUUUGGAACGCCAAUGGUGAAAACAAGUAGCUGGGGAUGUGCCGACGCUGAGACACGAAAGCCAGGGGAGCGAACGGG
rnacentral:rRNA from 1 species